CUUCUUUUUUUGUAAAUCUUCAUUGUUGACAUGUGGUACACUGUUUUGUCACUUGUAGUUGUGAAAUAAUAUACAGAAUGGGGAGAAAGAAAACUAGUGGAAAUCUUGGAAGGUCCAUAAUAAAGGAUCGAUUUGGUAAACGGAAUGUUGUUAAGAGUGACGACUCCUUCCUCCAUACCAGCGAGCUUCAGGAUGGGUAUGACUGGGGGAGACUGAACCUCCAGUCCGUCACAGAACAGAGUAACUUGGACGAUUUUCUGGCAACUGCAGAACUCGCUGGCACAGAGUUCGCAGCUGAGAAACUUAACAUUCAAUUUGUAGAUCCUCAAAAGCAUACAGGACUAAAACCCGAGGAUCUGGAACGAAUUAAACAGUUACACAAGGAACAUGAAACCUUACUUCGGAUUCCAAGAAGACCCCAUUGGGAUGAGAGUACCACAGCUGAACAGCUGGAUCACAUGGAGAAGGAAGCUUUUCUGCAAUGGAGAAGAGGACUGUCUUCCUUGCAAGAAAUUGAAGGCAUUAUCAUGACUCCAUAUGAAAAGAAUCUUGAGUUCUGGCGACAGUUAUGGAGAGUUAUUGAGCGAAGUGACAUUAUUGUUCAAGUAGUGGAUGCCAGAAAUCCUCUUCUGUACCAAUGUAUUGAUCUUGAAGAGUAUGUCAAGGAAGUUGACUCCAGAAAAUAUCUUAGAGCCGGAAUUUGAGGAAGAUUAUGAUGAGGAAGAAGAGGAAGAAGAAGAUGAAGAGAUGGACGACCCCAACAAUAUAAAGAAUGAAAAUCAGCAACAAGAAGAAACCGGAGUUGAGAGUGAGGUCCUAUCAGCUGAGACAGCAUCUCCUGCAAUCAAUGAAGUCAAUGAUAUUGACAAAUUAGAAACAGCACUCAGCCAUAGUUCAACUAGGGCUGAAGCAUCUGGUGGUCUAAAUAACAAUGUGAAAGUCUUUAAUGCAGAGGAGUUGCUGGAUUAUUUCAAGAGCAUCCAUCAAGGAGAAAAGGUUACAGAAGGACAGACUACAGUGGGAAUGGUAGGCUACCCUAAUGUUGGGAAGAGUUCAACAAUAAAUGCCAUCCUUAAAACCAAGAAAGUCCCUGUAUCUUCAACCCCAGGGAGAACCAAGCAUUUCCAGACGCUUUAUGUGGAGAGUGAUUUGAUGUUGUGUGAUUGUCCCGGUCUUGUAUUCCCCUCAUUUGUGUCAACAAAAGCAGAACUGAUUGUGAAUGGAAUUCUACCUAUUGACCAGAUGCGGGACCAUUGGCCCCCAGUGAACCUUGUGUGCAGUUAUAUUCCAAGAUCAACCUUUGAGGCUUUGUAUGGUAUUAAUCUUCCACCUCCAUCAGAAGGAGAAGACCCUAAUCGACUUCCUACUGCGGAGGAACUACUGACAACCUACGGGAGUAUGAGGGGGUACAUGGCUGUAAAUGGGACCCCAGAUUGCCCGCGAACUGCAAGAUACAUCCUGAAGGACUUUGUGAAUGGACGCUUGCUCUAUUGUCAUCCUCCACUUGAUGUAGAUCCUGAAGAAUUCCAUGAUUGUGGGUUAGUUCCAAAAGACCUUAUGGAGAAGCAAAGUGCUUUGUUAAAAAAGAAACCUAAGGAGGCGACUCCUUCCCAAAGCAAGCUGGAUAAGGACUUCUUUAAGAAGUUAAAUGUGGGCAUGCAUUCAAAGGGCUCCGUCAACAUACGUCAGACGGGAGGAGUUAGUAUGGGGGGAGGAAGUGUGAGUGGCAGCAUGACCUCAGUAGCCGGCAAACCAUGGAAAAAACACAACAACAAAGGCAAACGAGAAAAACUGCGCAGAGUGUACAAAGAUGGAGAAUGAAAUUUCUUAAGAAGACAGUUGACUUGCACUGUUAAUAGAUAUUUUAUUUUGAGAAAAGGGCAAUUUGUCAAAAUUUGAAUUAUACAAAUAGCUUAUAUUUACUGCAAAACAUGUUUAUCAAAUGUGCAUAGAUAAAAGUCAACAUUUAAGAAAUAAAUUCAAGUUACAUGUUA
rnacentral:misc_RNA from 1 species